rnacentral:lncRNA from 1 species
UCUCCCUCCCCCUUCGUGCGAUUCUCCCCACCGCCCAUUCUCUCUCUCUCUUUCUUUUUACUCUUUGACCGGUCAAUGCCUAUCUCUCUCUCUCUCUCUCUCUUCUCUUUCCUCCUCCCCCACGUGACCACUUUCUUCCUCUUUCUUCUCUCCUGUUCGUGCGAACAAAAACCAGAAGCUGAAGAAGCCGAGUAACAGCAGCUCGCCCCUCAGCCGUCGCCGCCCGUCCCGCCGCCGCACCGCACGUCCGCGCCCGUGCGCGCGCCGCUCGUCGCCGUGCACCGCCUGCCCUCUCCUCCGCCCAGACGCCCCUCCCCCGCGCGAGUCAGCCCCAUUCAGCCCCUGUUCAGCCCGGUUCCGCCCCGUCCGGCCAGCUCCGGCCACCGCCCAGCCCCGCCGGACUUCCCCGGCGUCCCCCUCGUCCUUCGCCGGCCUUCCCUCGCCGUUUUGGCCGCCGGAUCUGCUCCGACCAGCCAAGGGCAGAAACCCACGAAAUGGGUUUCCAGCUGGUUCGGGCCCGUUUUGGGCCGUUUCCCGGCCCCGAACCCGAGCCGUGCUUUGGGAAGAAUCGUCCCUCGCGUCGCCCCCGUCGGAUUGAUCCGAUUUGCGCGCGAUUUGGUGAGUAAUCUCACUAUUCCAGGAUUAGUGGCUAAUUUAUGCUUAAGGUUGGUUUAGAUUUAAUUAAUCAUGUUUAGGUUGUUAGAUUAGAUUAAAUUAGCAAUUAUUAGCCAAUUGUGAUGCGAAUUAGAUAAAUUGAAUGUGUAAUUAGCAAGUAGACAUGGUCUACUAAUUAUUGGAAGUGCCUCGGGAUUUUUCCCGACCCUUAGUGGGCUCCAAUUAGGCUUUUCGGGCCUAAGUGGAUUUUUUAGUAUUUAAUUAUUAAUUUUCGGAAUUAAAUUAAAUAAUUAUUUAUUUUCCGAAAAUUCAACUGAGAUGUCUCGGGACCGGAAUAUUAUGCCGAUGACCGUGGUGAAGUCCGUUUAUUUAAUCGGGCUUUAUUUUGAGCUGAAUCGGAUUUUUAAUAUUAAUUAUUUAAUUUUCGAAUUAAUUAAUUAAUUAAUUAAUUCCGAAAAUUUAAUUGAGAUGGUAGAUGACCGGAAUAUUAUGCUGAUGACCAUGGUGAAGUCCGUUUAUUUAAUUGGGCUUUAUUUUGUGUUAAAUUGAAUUUGUAAUAUUUGUUAAUUAAUUAUUUUUCGGAAAUUAAGAUUUUGAUGGCCGACGACAGAAAUCUCGUGCUGAUCAUCGUGGCGCAGUUCGUUUAUUUAUUUGAGCUCUACGUUGCAUGGAAUUAAAUAAAUUGUGAUGUUUUAAGGAUUUACCCUAAUUUGAUUGGAAUCGAUUGAGAUUGAAUUAUUGAUUGGUGAAUGGCCCAGUAUGUUUAUUCAGCAUUUAUAGUGCUUUGUUGAGUUGUAAAGUGAGUAGAAUGGUGAGAGUGAAUAAGAAGUACUCUGGGAUUGAACCAAUCAGACACGGUGUAUGGACCUACGUGGUUCGGUGAUUGGGACAUCACUGGCGAAAACGGCGCCUUAAAGAACGCACGUAUCGGUCUAGUACAUACAUUAUUGUGGACCUACGUGGUUCGGUGAUUAGGAUAUCACUGGCGAAAACGACGCCUUAAAGAACGCACGUAUCGGUCUAGUACUCAUAUUGUUAUAGGCAUGUAUGGUUCGGUGACUAAGGGUGUCACUGGCGAAAACGGCGCCUUAAAUAACGCAUACACUUGUCUAUUAAAUACAUUGUUAUAGGCAUGUGUGGUUCGGUGAUUAUGGAACUCACUGGCGAAAACGGCGCCUUAAAGAACGCACACAAUUGUCUAUUGAGUACAUGGUUAUAGGCAUGCGUGGUUCGGUGAUAAGGGCAUCACUGGCGAAAACGGCGCCUUAAAGAACGCACGCAAUUGUCUAUUGAUCAAAUCAUUGUAGGCAUGUGUGGUUCGGUGAUUUGGGAUAUCACUGGCGAAAACGGUGCCUUAAAGAACGCACACAGUUGUCUAGUGGAUACGUCACCUUGGCGAAGUUGACGCCCAAGAGCAUUGAUGUGGCUCUGUGACCGAGUACUCGAUGAAAGAAUAUAUGGUGUGGAAUCAAUGACCUAGAAUGGUCCGUCUGACAUGUAAUCGACUAGGUCGAUUGAUCCUUGCUUUAAUUUGAUGUUGUGAAUUGAUUGACUGAAUGGAAAUGACCGUGAGUGGUCUUGUUGGCAUAUAAUCGACUAGGUCGAUUUGAUCGAUGCUUCGAUCGCUGAUAUGAUUGCUUGGGUGCCUAUUAUGAAUUGUACUGACUUGCGGGUGGAAUCUGAGGCCAAGGUAAGUCUUCUGCCCUGUGCGUGUUUAGGCAGCCUGUAGUAUAAUGUGUUUAGGCAGCCUGUAGUAUAAUGGUUUACUAAUCGGGCUUAGUGGGGUAGAACUCGCUGAGACGUAGUCUCAUCCCAGUUUGGGGAAAACAUUUCAGGACCCCGAUGAGGAGCUGAUGAGGAGGAGUCUGAGAAUGAGAAUUCGGAGGUGAAACUUAAGGAGAAGGAUUUUCGGAAGAAGAAGAUAAUCCCGAGAGGGGCCUUAAGUACGGCCUGGAUGGAUUGAGAUCCUAUCUUCUUUUGAGAUCUUUAUUUUGAUGUGAAUAGAGUUUAAAGUAAAAAGUUGUGAAGUGCUCUGGUUUGUGGUUUGUAUAAAAGUUUGGUUAUAAGUUUCAAUAUGAAAAAUAUGGCCCUGCUUUUCUAUCCUAUUAUUUUAUUGUCU